UACGUAGGGGGCUAGCGUUGUCCGGAAUCAUUGGGCGUAAAGAGCGCGUAGGCGGCCAGAUAAGUCCGGUGUGAAAGUCACAGGCUCAACCUGUGGAUGCCGCUGGAAACUGUCUGGCUAGAGUCCGGAAGGGGCGAGUGGAAUUCCUGGUGUAGCGGUGAAAUGCGCAGAUAUCAGGAGGAACACCAAUGGCGAAGGCAGCUCGCUGGAACGGUACUGACGCUGAGGCGCGAAAAGCGUGGGGGAUCAAACAGG
rnacentral:rRNA from 1 species